GGGGAAGUAGCUCAGUGGUAGGGUACUUGCCUAGCAUGCAAGAGGUACUGGGUUCAAUCCCAGCUCUUUA
rnacentral:tRNA from 1 species